rnacentral:rRNA from 1 species
UACGUAGGGGGCAAGCGUUGUCCGGAUUUAUUGGGCGUAAAGAGCGUGUAGGCGGCCAAACAGGUCCACUGUGAAGACUCGAGGCUCAACCUCGAGAGGUCGGUGGAAACCGUCUGGCUAGAGUCCGGAAGAGGAGAGUGGAAUUCCCGGUGUAGCGGUGAAAUGCGCAGAUAUCGGGAAGAACACCCGUGGCGAAGGCGGCUCUCUGGGACGGUACUGACGCUGAGA